CCUACGGGCGGCACCAGUGGGGAAUAUUGCACAAUGGGCGCAAGCCUGAUGCAGCCAUGCCGCGUGUAUGAAGAAGGCCUUCGGGUUGUAAAGUACUUUCAGCGGGGAGGAAGGCGAUAAGGUUAUUAACCUUGUCGAUUGACGUUACCCGCAGAAGAAGCACCGGCUAACUCCGUGCCAGCAGCCGCGGUAAUACGGAGGGUGCAAGCGUUAAUCGGAAUUACUGGGCGUAAAGCGCACGCAGGCGGUCUGUCAAGUCGGAUGUGAAAUCCCCGGGCUCAGCCUGGGAAUUGCAUUCGAAACUGGCAGGCUAGAGUCUUGUAGAGGGGGGUAGAAUUCCAGGUGUAGCGGUGAAGUGCGUAGAGAUCUGGAGGAAUACCGGUGGCGAAGGCGGCCCCCUGGACAAAGACUGACGCUCAGGUGCGAAAGCGUGGGGAGCAAACAGGAUUAGAUACCCCUGUAGUC
rnacentral:rRNA from 1 species